rnacentral:misc_RNA from 1 species
ACACCUCAACCCUCAUGGUUUGCCAUGAUGGGCUUGGACUUUGGGGGUCUUGCUGGAUUGUAGUCAGCUCCCCUUAAAUGAAUCAGCUUGCCAGUGUUUGGUGGCAUCACAGGUGUGAUAACUAUCUACGCUUGUGGUUUUACAUCAGAUAACCUUCAGUGAUGGAGGUUCGCUGGAGCUCAUAAAGGUGUCUCUCCUCUGUGAGGGACAGCUCUUUGAAC